GGCGGUAGUGUUUGUUGACCGUUGGCGCUGAGCGGCUCAGCUGAUUAGCUUGUGUCCAAACGGCGGCGCUUAUUUUUCUGUUUUUCUCCGUGAAUAAAAGCAGCGCGUGAUCCCGUGAUCCCGUGAUCAUGCUGUCCGCCAGCGGGCGCUGCGUGGACUGCGUGUUUUCUCUGAUUCUGAUGGCCAUCGUGGUUCUGUCCUGGGGGUACGUGAUCUACGGCACUCGGAUCGCAGCGCAGUGGGAGCUGGAGAAGAGGGCCAACAUGCAGACGUGAAGAGCCGUACUCCACUAUCGCAGCGCCGUGGAGGACCGUGGAGGACCUUAAAUGACGGGGUGUCAUAAACCCUGUGUCAUCACGGGCAACCAGCAGUGCCUUCACAUCCUCCUACUGAAUCCCUGAGGAGAGCAGCGGCUCACGUGACCAGCUGGACGUUCAUGUGGCCAUAUUUUAAUUGGCUUUGAUCUGAAAUGGGACCGACACAGCCGUGUUGGAGAACAGCGAGGCUGAAAUUGGCUCUGUCGCCAGCUACUUACUCUAAUUUUGCAUUCCAGCUUAAUUGGUGCCACAGUUGCCUUCUGGAGUCGGGUGUCGGCUCCUUAUUUGAAUUUUCUACUCCACCUUAAAUGGUGCAGCUGUACUCCCCUGAAAAUACAUAGACCCCAUUUACACCUGGACACUUCAUGUGUCUUGAGUAUCAGGGCUACAUCCAAGUCCAAGCCACGUAACAAUGCCAGUGUAAACGCAGUUAAAACGGAUAUAAAUUCCGUCGCUUGAACCACUUCAGGAGGUGGACUGAGAUGUGUUUGAGCCACGUUAUAGCAGCGUAAACACAUCCGUCUCUCCAUGACUCAGACAGCAACCGAAACUCCUCCCAUCGCCUCACUGGGUGCGUGAUCUGAAGAUAAGCGUGGAAGUUUCGUAUGGUUGCCCUUUGAAGAAAUGCAAACUUGUGAAAUUCAAGGCAGCAACUAUCUUUAGCGUAGAGGCUGAACGGAUAAACAGUUGGUAACUGGUGCCGCGUAACGAGUGAAUUUGCAUAUUCCGUCCUGCUCACCAAUUGGAUUUCAGUCUGACUAACCGGCGCUGCAUUUCACUACCAGGUGGAAACGCAACGUGGCUAAAAUGGUAAUCCUAAUCACAUGGAAUGACCAGGUGUAUCCAAACGUGUCUGAAGCGGAUGAAAUAUUUCUCAUCAACAACCAACAUACAGAAUCGUUUUUACGCCAAUGUAUUUCAUUAAUGUGGAAACAAGCGUGUGCGUUUGAAUCAAGUGAAUUCAGCGCAUCUCUCUGCUGUAUAAGUGAACGUUAUUCGGCUUUUUUACAUUGUAAUAAAUGUUUUUCAGUACAUUUCUACAGA